CAAAAAUUCCUUGGACCAGAGAAAAAGACAGUCAAACAUAAAAGGCUACUCUUCCACAAACUUAGUUCUUAGAGGGCUGCUUAUCUUUGGUCUUCUGGAUCUUUAGAACUUUCUUGACAAUCUUUUGCUCCUCAAGCAAGAAAGCUCUAAUUAUCCUUUCCCUGACGGCACUUCCUGACAAAACUCCACCAUAUGCACGGUUGACAGUCCUCUGAUUUCUGGCCAACCUAGAGCGUUUGUACUCAGUAGGCCUUAGGUGGGGGAUCCCUUGAAUCCUCUUGCCAGUGACAGGGCACUUCGGCCCGCUCGCACGCUUCUUCGUGUUCUGGUAUACCAGCUUUCCUCCUGGGGUCUUGAGGACCCUUGUCUGGUUCGAUUUGGUGGCAUAGCUGUGCCGCUUGCGGUAGGUCAAGCGCUGCACCAUCUUCGCCUUCUCUCUCUUUCUUCCGUUGGGCGGCGGCGAG
rnacentral:misc_RNA from 1 species